UACGGGGGGUGCAAGCGUUGUCCGGAUUUAUUGGGUUUAAAGGGUGCGUAGGCGGUCUAGUAAGUCCGGGGUGAAAUCGAGUCGCUUAACGAUUCAAGGGCCCUGGAUACUGUUGGACUAGAAUCAGGAUGAGGUGGGCGGAAUGUAUCAAGUAGCGGUGAAAUGCAUAGAUAUGAUACAGAACUCCGAUUGCGCAGGCAGCUCACUGGGCCUGGAUUGACGCUGAGGCACGAAAGCGUGGGGAGCAAACAGG
rnacentral:rRNA from 1 species